rnacentral:rRNA from 1 species
GAUGAACGCUGGCGGCGUGCCUAAUACAUGCAAGUCGAGCGAACGGACGAGAAGCUUGCUUCUCUGAUGUUAGCGGCGGACGGGUGAGUAACACGUGGAUAACCUACCUAUAAGACUGGGAUAACUUCGGGAAACCGGAGCUAAUACCGGAUGAUAUUUUGAACCGCAUGGUUCAAAAGUGAAAGACGGUCUUGCUGUCACUUAUAGAUGGAUCCGCGCUGCAUUAACUAGUUGGUAAGGUAACGGCUUACCAAGGCAACGAUGCAUAGCCGACCUGAGAGGGUGAUCGGCCACACUGGAACUGAGACACGGUCCAGACUCCUACGGGAGGCAGCAGUAGGGAAUCUUCCGCGAUGGGCGAAAGCCUGACGGAGCAACGCCGCGUGAGUGAUGAAGGUCUUCGGAUCGUAAAACUCUGUUAUUAGGGAAGAACAUAUGUGUAAGUAACUGUGCACAUCUUGACGGUACCUAAUCAGAAAGCCACGGCUAACUACGUG